AUGGAGGCCACGGCGCUGAGCAUCGGAAAGUCCGUGCUGGAUGGAGCGCUUGGCUAUGCAAAAUCUGCCCUGGCAGAGGAGGUUGCUCUGCAGCUAGGAGUCCGGCGUGAUCAGGUCUUCAUCACCAACGAGCUUGAGAUGAUGCAGGCUUUUCUCAUGACCGCCCACGAUGAGAGAUAUGAUGACGAUAGGGUCGUCAAGGUGUGGGUAAAACAGGUCCGCGACGUGGCCUAUGACGUCGAGGACACCCUCCAGGAAUUCUCUGUGCGCCUACGGAGGAAGUCCUGGUGGCGUAUCCAUCGAACGCUAUCAGAUAGGCGCCAUGUGGCCAAGCAGAUGAAGGAGCUGAGAGCCAAUGUUGAGGAUGUCAGCCAGAGGAACAUGCGCUACAACCUCAUCAAGGGCUCUAGCUCCAAGUCGGCAAGCAUCGGUGGACAGUCUGCAAUGGUUGGUACAGCUAUGUCUGGCACCGACGAAGCAAGGCGCCUACGGGAGAAAGCAAAAGUGGAUCUCGUUCAAUUGAUCAACAAGAAGGAUGAUGACCUUAGAAUCAUCGCGGUGUCAGGAAUAAGAUCAGGUCAUUUGUGGGAGACUUCAGUCAUCAGAAGGGCCUAUGAAGAUAAAAAGGUAUACAAGAAGUUUGAGUGCCGAGCCUGGAUCGCAGGGUUGAUACGUCCUUUUACUUUAACAGAGUUCUUGCGAAGCAUCAUCGAACAAUUCCAUGUAAAUUGUCUUCAAAGUGUGGGGGAAAGAGAAAAAACAGAGAUCCAAGUCCUGAGGAAGAUGGGGAUGAUGAAGAAAGAUGAUUUGGUUGAUGAAUUCAUGAGAUACGUAAAUGAGAAGACUUACCUGAUUGUACUUGAUGACAUACAGAACAUUGAAGAAUGGGGUGACAUUAAGCCAUGCUUCCAGAAUAACAAGAAAGGAAGCCGAAUCAUAGUCUCUGCAUACCAAGCUGGAGUUGCAAGCUUAUGUGUAGGGCCUGAGGAUGUAGUACCAGAGUAUAAGCAGUUGUUUGUUGAUGAGAAUAUUUAUGCUUUCUAUGAGAAGGGGUCUCAUAAUGGGAUAGAUUCAAUGGAGGCCGGGAGUAGCUCCAAUACAGGCAUUGCUGGCAGUGACGGCUCUGGCAAUAAGAAGAUUCUUAAUCACAGAGAGACACUAGCAGUUUUUAGGGACACUCAACUCAUUGGGCGUGAGAAAGAAAAGUCAGAAAUCCUAAAACUAGUUUUAAAUGAAGAUAGCCAACAACUUGAAGUGAUAAGCUUGUGGGGAAUGGGUGGUAUUGGAAAAACCACACUAGUCAGAGAUGUCUACCAAGAGCUUAGUGGCAAGUUUGAGAAGCGUGCUUGUGUCACGAUUCUGCGACCUUUCAGCCUUGACAAGCUUCUCGAGGACAUAGCUAUGCAGAUUGGAUGUGAAGUGAAAAAGAUGGUUAGAUAUUUAGAAGGAAAGAAAUACUUGAUUGUUCUCGAUGAUCUAUCAUCCAAUACAGAAUGGGAUACUAUAAUACCACAAUUUCCUGCAAUGGAAACAUCAAGUCGGAUCAUAGUCACCACAAGAAUAAAGGAUAUUGCUAAUCAUUGUUCAAACAAGCAUAAAAAUAUAUGCGAACUCCAAAGGCUAGGACACAGAAGCGCGCGUGAUCUCUUCAUGAAAAAGGUAUUUGGCAGGACUAUAAAUUUGGAUGAGCAGUAUCCUACUUUGAUUGAACAAGCAAAUCUGAUCCUCAAGAAAUGCAACGGACUUCCUCUUGCAAUAGUGACAAUAGGUGGUUUCUUGGCAAACCAACCAAAAAUCGCUUUCCAAUGGAGGAAACUGAAUGAGCAUAUCAGUGCUGAGUUGGCAAUGAAUCCAGAACUUGGGACCAUAAAAACCGUCCUUAUGAGAAGCUAUGAUGGUUUACCCUAUCACCUCAAGUCUUGUUUCCUAUAUAUGCCUAUAUUUCCUGAAGACUACAGGGUUGGGCGGGGACGCUUGGUGCGUCGGUGGACUGCGGAGGGUUACUCAAGGGAGGUGCGUGGCAAGUUCGCAGUGCAAAUAGCGGAUAGCUACUUCAUGGAACUGAUGAGCAGGAGCAUGAUCCUACCGUCUGAGAAGUCAAUUCAUAGUACAAAAGGGAUUGAUUCCUGCCAAGUCCAUGAUCUCAUCCGUGAAAUUGGCAUCUCAAAGUCAAUGGAAGAAAAUCUUGUUUUUACACUCGAAGAAGGUUGCAUCUCAAACAGCCAGGCCACGGUGCGCCACCUGGCUAUAAAUGGCAACUGGAAGGGGGAUAAGAGUGAGUUUGAGAGCAUAGUGGACAUGUUGCGUCUGCGGUCAUUAACAGUUUUCGGUCAGUGGAAGUCAUUUUUCAUUUCUGACAAGAUGAGUAUGCUCCGAGUUCUAGACUUGGAAGACACAAAAGAUCUGCGUCAUCACCACCUUAAGCAUAUUUGGAAACUUCUUCACCUAAGAUAUCUUUCCCUAAGAGCAUGUCCAACAAUUUUUGACCUGCCAGAUUCGUUGGGUAAUCUGAGGCAACUCGAGACGCUAGAUGUGAGAGGAACUGGAAUUCUCAAGUUGCCAAAGAGCAUCAUCAAGCUUCAGAAGCUAAAUCAUCUUCGUGCUGGGAUCAUACCGGCAUAUGAGGAUUUCGUUUCAUGGGAACAAGCUGUAGGUCAUAUUCCAAAGGUAAUGAAGUGCCGGCCAUGCACUUUAUUAUUAGGGACAAUGUUGUGUUGUCUUGCUUGUUUUGCACCUGAAUCUUUUUUAGGUGAUGGCAUGAGCCACCGUGAUGUAUGCGCUAUGUUUUGCUGCUGCAUAUUACCUAUUCUUGCGACGCGCUUGGACGCACAUGGUGUUCUAGUGCCAAGUGGGAUGACGAAGCUGAAAGCCCUGCACACACUGGGUGUUGUCAACAUCGGACGAGGGAAGGUCAUUCUACAGGACAUAAAAGGACUCACCAGGUUGCGCAAGUUGGGAGUGACUGGCGUCAAUAAGGAAAAUGGACAAGAGCUUUGUUCAGCAAUUGUUGGGCUGAGACAUCUGGAGUCAUUGUCAAUCCGGUCAGAGGGGGAGCCAGGUUUAUCUGGCUGCUUGGAUGGGAUGUCGUCACCUCCGGAGAACCUGCAGAGCCUCAAGUUGUAUGGCAACCUGGUGAAAUUGCCAGAAUGGAUCCAGGAGCUGAAACAUCUGGUGAAACUGAAGCUGCGCAACUCUACCAUAUCAGAGCAUGAUGCUGCCAUACAAGUCAUUGGUAAUCUACCAAACCUGACAUUCCUGCAUCUGCUGGAGAAGUCGUUCAAGGGUGAAGAGGUCUGUCUCAGUUUGCUGCCGGGGACGUUUGUGAGGCUGAUGGUGCUGGAACUGAGACCAACGCUCAAAUGCUUGAAGUUUGAACAAGGAGCAGCCUGUAAACUUGAGCUGCUCAAGUUUCGUUUUGCAGACAUCAACAACGAGUCGCUUUUGGGUCUACCAUCACUCGCAAGCCUCAAGGAAGUUGUGCUCCAAGAUUACUUCGAUGACACUGGAUUGGCAUACCUGCGGACUGAACUCGCCGAGAAUCCAAAUCGUCCCAUCCUGAAGAGGGCCUUUGAAGUCGUAAAGGUUGUUUGA
rnacentral:rRNA from 1 species